rnacentral:lncRNA from 1 species
AAUUUGUGUUAUCCGAAUUUUUGAAAUCAAUGUUUAUAGUUGAAUUGUCUUUCAGAAAUGGUCUACCAGUAUUUGACACGAGAAGGCCUAGGUACAGUAGGACUAGCUUUCUUGCAUGUUUGUCAGAGGGAUGACCCUAGUAAAAAGGUCUGACAUUCCAUACCUGAUAAUGAAAGAAAACACCAGAAACUAUUUACUGAGGUGAUUUUAAAUAAACUAAAUGGGAUUUCAUAUAUGAACAUAAUUAGUCCCUGAUUCAUAAAAAUUGUACAGUAUAUUUAAAGUACAAUAAAAUUAAAUCACUUAGUCUAGUGUUUUAUUUAUACUACUAGACUAAGUACUUUUAAAAUUGGUGAUUAUUAAAGAAAGACAACUCUUACUUCCAACAUUUCUGGACAAAAUGUUACUUGAAUCAGUGAUUUAAGAUCACCCAUUUCAGCCUAACUGAUAUAUACAAGUAUGUACAAGUAUUUAUAUACAUGUAUAAACUUGUAAGGUUAAAAAAAUAAGCUAGUUUUCGAUUUUACCUGUAUAAGAAUGAUUUUUUUGUGGAUAGAAUCAGUCAAUCUAAUGAUUUACCUUUAUUUCACUUUCAAUGUUGACAUUCUUUUCUAAUAACUGAUUAAUAGCCUAACACACAUCAACCAUGCAUAAUCCAUUUCCAUUUCAUGAUACGACACAUCCGGUUGCAUUCGAAAGUAGGUCUAAAAAAAUAUUCCCUUGAAUUUGACAGUUGUAGAAAAUUAUCCCUGCAUUUCAAUGCACUUAAUUUUUUCUGAGUCAUAAACAUGUAUGUUGGGUGUCUGAAAGCAUCAUUCUUUGUUUAUUUGAUGGUCUUAUAAAAUAUAUCAUCUAAACACUUGCCUUGGAUUUAUACACAUCAGAAUCCAGUCUCACAUACUUAAAUUUUAUAAUUCGUACCAAUUUUUUUUUUUACCAGCAUUCAAAGGGACAUAACCCUUUUUAAAACCAUUUUGAUGUAUUUUUUAUUACUCUUUCUUCUCAUUUUCUAAUGUAAAAUACAAGAAAGUGGACUUUUUAGGUGUAAAUCUAUUAGAAAUAUACUGCAAUAAAUAAAUGAAAUGAUUUUGAUAUCAGUAACAAUUAUGAUUGACUGAAAGGGAACCGUUAUUUGUCACAUUCGGGGAACACACCAAAAACUCAAGUUACACAUAAGGGCUUAUAGAAACUUCGGUGGAUACUGUUAACAUUUAUAGAGACAGUUCUUCCAGCUAAAACACUUUAAUUGUUGAUUUGACAUUACAUUUCUUUCAUUUUUUCUGGGAAAAUAAUUAUAUUUGCUUUAUUUUUUAGGCAAAAGAUAUCAAGUUUUGAUGAAAAAAGAAGGAAGAAGGAAAAUGGACCAAAACAGACCAAAACAGACCUUCAAAUGAACUCUAAAAGGUGCAAUAAAAUUGUAUAUCAUCUUAAAGUUGUCUUUUGUAUCCUAUUAAAUUGUUUGAAUGCUUAGAUCAUGAGUAUAUGAUCAGAUAUUAGUCAACACUGCAUUUUAUAAUGAUACACUGAAAAAAGGAUUUUUCGAAGAAAUAAGACUGAAAUCGCCGUAGGAUAUGGCCUUACAUUAUAGUGAUUUUCUCUGAAACUAUAGAUCUGACUGAAACAAAACUUGGCAGUUAUGCUUGAAAUAACUUGCAAUUGGAGGGAAAAAAAUUACAUUAAGUUUAUUUGACAUUUAGGUGUUCUUUAACAAGAAGAGAUAUAUAUACAAAAUGUAUAAAAACUAGAAGGGGAUUUUUUUCCAUGCCACAUUAAUGGACAUGAUGUAUGCAUAAUUUUUUGUUUUACAUACAUUGUACAAUUUUUUGUUUUACAUACAUUGUACAACAACAUGUAUAUAUGUACAAUAAUAUUUACUUUUUUCUUUCAGGAACAAUGAUAAACAAGGGAACUGAUGGUUUAAAACUACCAAGAUGUGAAGUAAUGAACUAAAGAGUAACGUGAAGUCAGACAAUACAACCUGAGGUGUCAGAAUUUGUGCAAAAAUUUUUUAUUUGCAGAUAUAUGGAUGGAUUUUGUCAAAAUAUGAACUGAAACACUGGGAUAAAAUUAUGUUUUUUUUUUCGUAUAAAAGAUCCGGUUGUGUUCCAUAAAUGUAUUUCUAAUAA